rnacentral:rRNA from 1 species
GUAGGUGGCAAGCGUUGUCCGGAAUUAUUGGGCGUAAAGCGCGCGCAGGCGGUCCUUUAAGUCUGAUGUGAAAGCCCACGGCUCAACCGUGGAGGGUCAUUGGAAACUGGGGGACUUGAGUACAGAAGAGGAAAGCGGAAUUCCAAGUGUAGCGGUGAAAUGCGUAGAGAUUUGGAGGAACACCAGUGGCGAAGGCGGCUUUCUGGUCUGUGACUGACGCUGAGGCGCGAAAGCGUGGGGAGCAAACAGGAUUAGAUACCCUGGUAGUCCACGCCGUAAACGAUGAGUGCUAAGUGUUAGGGGGGUUUCCGCCCCCCUUAGUGCUGCAGCUAACGCAUUAAGCACUCCGCCUGGGAGUACGGCCGCAAGGCUG